UACGUAGGUGACAAGCGUUGUCCGGAUUUACUGGGCGUAAAGAGCGCGCAGGCGGUCGAUCAAGUCGAGUGUGAAAGCCCCCGGCUCAACUGGGGAGGGUCAUUCGAUACUGAUCGACUCGAAGGCAGGAGAGGGUAGUGGAAUUCCCGGUGUAGUGGUGAAAUGCGUAGAUAUCGGGAGGAACACCAGUGGCGAAGGCGGCCACCUGGUUGGAUACUGACGCUGAUGCUCGAAAGCUAGGGGAGCAAACGGG
rnacentral:rRNA from 1 species